rnacentral:rRNA from 1 species
AUUGAACGCUGGCGGCAUGCCUUACACAUACAAGUCGAACGCGAAAGUAGGGGCAACCCUGCGAGUAGAGUGGCGAACGGGUGAGUAAUGCAUCGGAACAUUUCCAGUAGCGGGGGAUAACCUCGAGAAAUCGAGGCUAAUACCGCAUACGUCCUACGGGAGAAAGCGGGGGACCGCAAGGCCUCGCACUAUUGGAGUGGCCGAUGCCGGAUUAGCUAGUUGGCGGGGUAAAAGCCCACCAAGGCGACGAUCCGUAGCUGGUCUGAGAGGAUGAUCAGCCACACUGGGACUGAGACACGGCCCAGACUCCUACGGGAGGCAGCAGUGGGGAAUUUUGGCCAAUGGGCGCAAGCCUGAUCCAGCCAUGCCGCGUGAGUGAAGAAGGCCUUCGGGUUGUAAAGCUCUUUCGGCCGGGACGAAAUCGCACCCUUUAAUACGGGGUGUGGAUGACGGUACCGGAAGAAGAAGGACCGGCUAACUACGUGCCAGCCGCCGCGGUAA